ACAAAAGGAUAUUUUUCCUGCACUUCAGAAAACAUUCUCCGUAGUGCAUCUUUCAAAGGCUAAAAGACAUGAAGCCUUCCCCGGUUCCCGGGACUGGAACUGACACUGGUUUGAUUCCCUGCAGCAAAGUACUCCUCUGCAGUCAGCAGCCCUGACACCUUCCAUUAUGCAGCUCUGUGCUCCCCAUCCUGCCAGCCACUCUGCUUAUUCAUCCUCUGAUAUAUUUAUUGGUGUGUGGACCAUCAACUGAGGUGGCCUCACUAAGGGCUUUAUAGCAGAGAAAAUGAAAAGAUUUCCAAGUGAAGAAGGUCACUAUUACUGACUGGAGGAAAGCGUGGCAUGGACCCUGAGCAGAAUUUCCACUUCAAGAAAGGCAAUAUCAAUGCAUAAUGAUAUACAUUUGUCCUCUAAGUGAUGGACCUUGAAAUUUCUUUUGCAUUUUCUGCUCCCCACCCAAUCAAAACACAUUGUGAGUGGCAGUGGGGCCAGCAGAACCCUUGGGGAGGGGAGUCUGGCUGCAGCCAAGCUGGUGGUCCCCAGGAAGCACACACCCCUGCUCCACCCUUUCCCUUCUGCCAAAUGCAUCGCGCUAGGGCUCUGUCACCAUUAUCCGGAGUUGCAUCCUCCACCUGCCCUUGAUCAUCCCAGAACAGGAAGUGAAGGUCAGCCUUGCUUUCCAGUCUCCACGCUUUGCAGAUUGGGUGGGAGGGAAAGCAAGCAGGUUUGUAGGCUUUCUAAAGCCCCCCAUAUGGAUUCUAAGAUCUAGACCCUGAAAGGCAGGAAGAUGAUGAUUUUGAGGGCAUAG
rnacentral:lncRNA from 1 species